GACGAACGCUGGCGGCGUGCUUAACACAUGCAAGUCGAGCGAGUGGAUUCCCUUCGGGGAUGAAGCUAGCGGCGGACGGGUGAGUAACACGUGGGCAACCUGCCUUAUAGAGGGGGAUAGCCUUCCGAAAGGAAGAUUAAUACCGCAUAACAUCAGAUUAUCGCAUGGUAGACUGAUCAAAGGAGCAAUCCGCUAUAAGAUGGGCCCGCGUCGCAUUAGCUAGUUGGUGAGGUAACGGCUCACCAAGGCGACGAUGCGUAGCCGACCUGAGAGGGUGAUCGGCCACAUUGGGACUGAGACACGGCCCAGACUCCUACGGGAGGCAGCAGUGGGAAAUAUUGCACAAUGGGGGAAACCCUGAGGCAGCAACGCCGCGUGAGUGAUGAAGGCCUUCGGGUUGUAAAGCUCUUUGAUCAGGGACGAUAAUGACGGUACCUGAAGAACAAGCCACGGCUAACUACGUGCCAGCCGCCGCGGUAAGAC
rnacentral:rRNA from 1 species